rnacentral:rRNA from 2 species
GGAAACGAUGGCUAAUACCGCAUAAUGAAACCAAAGUGGGGGAUCUACCUCAUGCUUCUGGAUGAACCCAGACGAGAUUAGCUUGAUGGUGGGGUAAUGGCCUACCAUUGCGACGAUCUCUAGCUGGUCUGAGAGGAUGUCCAGCCACACUGGAACUGAGACACGGUCCAGACUCCUACGGGAGGCAGCAGUGGGGAAUAUUGCACAAUGGGCGAAAGCCUGAUGCAGCUAUGCCGCGUGUAUGAAGAAGGCCUUAGGGUUGUAAAGUACUUUCAGCAGGGAGGAAAAAUAACUAAUAUCUAUUUAUCCUGACGUUACCUGAAGAAGAAGCACCGGCUAACUCCGUGCCAGCAGCCGCGGUAAUACGGAGGGUGCAAGCGUUAAUCGGAAUUACUGGGCGUAAAGAGCUCGUAGGCGGUUUCUUAAGUCAGAUGUGAAAUACCUAGGCUUAACCUAGGAACUGCAUUUGAAACUGUGAAGCUAGAGUAUCGUAGAGGGAGGUAGAAUUCUAGGUGUAGCGGUGAAAUGCGUAGAUAUCUGGAGGAAUACCCGUGGCGAAAGCGGCCUCCUAAACGAAUACUGACGCUGAGGUGCG